rnacentral:rRNA from 1 species
AACGAACGCUGGCGGCAUGCCUAAUACAUGCAAGUCGAACGAGAUCUUCGGAUCUAGUGGCGCACGGGUGCGUAACGCGUGGGAAUCUACCCUUGGGUUCGGAAUAACGUCGGGAAACUGACGCUAAUACCGGAUGAUGACGUAAGUCCAAAGAUUUAUCGCCCAGGGAUGAGCCCGCGUAGGAUUAGCUAGUUGGUAAGGUAAAGGCUUACAAAGGCGAGGAUCCUGAGCUGGUCUGAGAGGAUGAUCAGACACACUGGGACUGAGACACGGCCCAGAAGCCUCCUGGAGGAAGCAGUAGGGAAUAUUGGACAAUGGGGGCAACCCUGAUCCAGCAAUGCGGCGUGAGUGAUGAAGGCCUUAGUGUUGUAAAGCUCUUUUACCCGGGAUGAUAAUGACAGUACCGGGAGAAUAAGCCCCGGCUAACUCCGUGCCAGCAGCCGCCGUAAAAC